UAAAGAAUUUCGGUUAUCGAUGGGGAUGCGUUCCAUUAGUUAGUUGGCGGGGUAACGGCCCACCAAGACGACGAUGGAUAGGGGUUCUGAGAGGAAGGUCCCCCACAUUGGAACUGAGACACGGUCCAAACUCCUACGGGAGGCAGCAGUGAGGAAUAUUGGUCAAUGGACGAGAGUCUGAACCAGCCAAGUAGCGUGAAGGAUGACUGCCCUAUGGGUUGUAAACUUCUUUUAUAUGGGAAUAAAACAGGGUAUGCAUACCCUCUUGUAUGUACCAUAUGAAUAAGGAUCGGCUAACUCCGUGCCAGCAGCCGCGGUAAUACGGAGGAUCCGAGCGUUAUCCGGAUUUAUUGGGUUUAAAGGGAGCGUAGGUGGAUUGUUAAGUCAGUUGUGAAAGUUUGCGGCUCAACCGUAAAAUUGCAGCUGAAACUGGCAGUCUUGAGUACAGUAGAGGUGGGCGGAAUUCGUGGUGUAGCGGUGAAAUGCUUAGAUAUCACGAAGAACUCCGAUUGCGAAGGCAGCUCACUGGACUGCAACUGACACUGAUGCUCGAAAGUGUGGGUAUCAAACAGGAUUAGAUACCCUGGUAGUCCACACAGUAAACGAUGAAUACUCGCUGUUUGCGAUAUACGGUAA
rnacentral:rRNA from 1 species